UACGUAGGGUGCAAGCGUUGUCUGGAAUUAUUGGGCGUAAAGAGCUCGUAGGCGGUUUGUCGCGUCUGCUGUGAAAACUCAGGGCUUAACUCUGAGCUUGCAGUGGGUACGGGCAGACUAGAGUGCGGUAGGGGAGACUGGAAUUCCUGGUGUAGCGGUGAAAUGCGCAGAUAUCAGGAGGAACACCGGUGGCGAAGGCGGGUCUCUGGGCCGUAACUGACGCUGAGGAGCGAAAGCAUGGGGAGCGAACAGG
rnacentral:rRNA from 1 species